AUGAGUGACAACAUGGACAGCAUGCAGAUCAACAAGCUAGCGCCGCUGAUACCAGAGGGGCUCCCAGUGGAGGCGGUUGGUGUGGUAGAUCUAGUUGUUGUGGAUGUUGCGGUUCUUCCUUUCUGUGCAGUUGUGGUAUCUAUGAUGGAUUCCAAAGUUGUACCUGCGGUGAUUGUCAAGGUUGUCUGUCCUGUCUCUGUAGUGCUCUUAGUCUUGCCUGUGGCGGAUUUUUCAGUUUUCCCUGUGGUUACUAUUGUACUAGCCAUUGUAGGUACAGCUGGAGUUUCUGCUGUGGUUGUUUUCUGUGUAGUUGUGGUGACUCCCAUGGUUGUCAGGAGCGUAGCUCUGUUAUCUGCCAUGGAUGUCUUUGCUGGCGGCCUAUCUGUGGUGUUUGCCAAGGUGGUGUUUGUUGUAGGUGCACCUGUUGCAUUCGUGAUGGUUGUCUUUUCUGUGGUUGUAGCUGUGGUGACUGUCAUUGUAUUUGCUGUUGUAGGUGUAGAUGUAGUUGUUUGUAUGGUUGUUGUUUUCUGUGCAGCACUGGUGACUGCCCUGACUUUUGUAGCAUUUUCAGCUGUAUUUGCCACGGUUGUCUGUGCUACAGCUGUGGUGAUUUUAAUUGUUGUUGUUGAUGAUGUAGGUGCAACUUCAGAUGCUGUUCUUCCUUUCUGUGCAGUUGUGGUAUCUAUGAUGGGUUCCAAAGUUGUACCUGCGGUGAUUGUCAAGGUUGUCUGUCCUGUCUCUGUAGUGCUCUUAGUCUUGCCUGUGGCGGGUUUUUCAGUUUUCCCUGUGGUUACCAUUGUACUAGCCAUUGUAGGUACAGCUGGAGUUUCUGCUGUGGUUGUUUUCUGUGUAGUUGUGGUGACUCCCAUGGUUGUCAGGAGCGUAGCUCUGUUAUCUGCCAUGGAUGUCUUUGCUGGCGGCCUAUCUGUGGUGUUUGCCAAGGUGGUGUUUGUUGUAGGUGCACCUGUUGCAUUCGUGAUGGUUGUCUUUUCUGUGGUUGUAGCUGUGGUGACUGUCAUUGUAUUUGCUGUUGUAGGUGUAGAUGUAGUUGUUUGUAUGGUUGUUGUUUUCUGUGCAGCACUGGUGACUGCCCUGACUUUUGUAGCAUUUUCAGCUGUAUUUACCACGGUUGUCUGUGCUACAGCUGUGGUGAUUUUAAUUGUUGUUGUUGGUGAUGUAGGUACAACUUCAGAUGCUGUUCUUCCUUUCUGUGCAGUUGUGAUAUCUAUGAUGGAUUCCAAAGUUGUACCUGUGGUGUUUGCCAAGGUUGUCUGUCCUGUAUCUGUAGUCUUGCCUGUGGCGGUUUUUUCAGUUUUCCCUGUGGUUACCAUUGUACUAGCCAUUGUAGGUACAGCUGGAGUUUCUGCUGUGGUUGUUUUCUGUGUAGUUGUGGUGACUCCCAUGGUUGUCAGGACCGUAGCUCUGUUAUCUGCCAUGAAUGUGUUUGCUGGAAGCCUAUCUGUGGUGUUUGUUGUAGGUGCACCUGUUGCAUUCGUAAUGGUUGUCUUUUCUGUGGUUGCAGCUGUGGUGACUGUCAUUGUAUUUGCUGUUGUAGGUGUAGAUGUAGCUUUUUGUAUGGUUGUUGUUUUCUGUGCAGCACUAGUGACUGUCCUGACUUUUGUAGCAUUUUCAGCUGUAUUUACCACGGUUGUCUGUGCUGCAGCUGUGGUGAUUUUAAUUGUUGUUGUUGUUGUUGUUGUUGUUGUUGUAGGUAAAGCUGCAGAAGCUGUUCUUUCUUUCUGUGUAGUUGUGGUAUCUAUGAUGGAUUCCAAAGUUGUACUUGUGGUGUUUGUCAAGGUUGUCUGUCCUGUAGUGUUCUUAGUCUUGCCUGUGGCAGUUUUUUCAGUUUUCCCUGUGGUUACCAUUGUACUAGCCAUUGUAGGUACAGCUGGAGUUUCUGCUGUGGUUGUUUUCUGUGUAGUUGUGGUGACUCCCAUGGUUGUCAGGAGCGUAGCUCUGUUAUCUGCCAUGGAUGUCUUUGCUGGCGGCCUAUCUGUGGUGUUUGCCAAGGUGGUGUUUGUUGUAGGUGCACCUGUUGCAUUCGUGAUGGUUGUCUUUUCUGUGGUUGCAGCUGUGGUGACUGUCAUUGUAUUUGCUGUUGUAGGUGUAGCUGAAGUUUUUUGUAUGGUUGUUGUUUUCUGUGCAGCUAUGGUGACCAAAAUGCUUGUAGCUGUAGUCAUGGCAUUGUCCUUGGUUGAUUCUGAUGCAUCUGUGGUACUUCCCAUUGUGGUUGUUGUUGGUAAUGCCUAUAAUUCAAAGUAA
ensembl:lncRNA